rnacentral:rRNA from 1 species
CCUACGGGUGGCAGCAGUGAGGAAUAUUGGUCAAUGGACGAGAGUCUGAACCAGCCAAGUAGCGUGAAGGAUGACUGCCCUAUGGGUUGUAAACUUCUUUUAUAUGGGAAUAAAAUGUUUCACGUGUGGGAUUUUGUAUGUACCAUAUGAAUAAGGAUCGGCUAACUCCGUGCCAGCAGCCGCGGUAAUACGGAGGAUCCGAGCGUUAUCCGGAUUUAUUGGGUUUAAAGGGAGCGUAGGUGGAUUGUUAAGUCAGUUGUGAAAGUUUGCGGCUCAACCGUAAAAUUGCAGUUGAAACUGGCAGUCUUGAGUACAGUAGAGGUGGGCGGAAUUCGUGGUGUAGCGGUGAAAUGCUUAGAUAUCACGAAGAACUCCGAUUGCGAAGGCAGUUCACUGGACUGCAACUGACACUGAGGCUCGAAAGUGUUGGUAUCAAACAGGAUUAGAUACCCCUGUAGUC